AGAACGAACGCUGGCGGCGUGGAUAAGACAUGCAAGUCGAGCGCUGAUUAAAGGGUAGCAAUAUCUUUUAAUUGGAGCGGCGCAAGGGUGCGUAACACGUGGGUAAUUUGCCAUGAAGUUGGGGAUAACUUGCUGAAAGGCGAGCUAAUACCGAAUGUGGCCCGACGGAGACAUCUCUGUUUGGCUAAAGCUGGGGACCGCAAGGCCUGACGCUUCAUGAUAAACCCGCGGCCUAUCAGCUAGUUGGUGAGGUAACGGCCCACCAAGGCUAAGACGGGUAGCUGGUCUGAGAGGACGACCAGCCACACUGGAACUGAGAGACGGUCCAGACACCUACGGGUGGCAGCAGUCGAGAAUUUUUCACAAUGGGGAAACCCUGAUGGAGCGACGCCGCGUGGGGAUGAAUGGCUUCGGCCCGUAAACCCUCGUCAUUUGCGAACAAACCUUUUCACUUAAUACGUGGAGAAUUGAUUGUAGCGUAGAAGAGGAAGGGACGG
rnacentral:rRNA from 1 species